rnacentral:rRNA from 1 species
UUAAGCGACUAAGCGUACACGGUGGAUGCCCUGGCAGUCAGAGGCGAUGAAGGACGUGCUAAUCUGCGAUAAGCGCCGGUAAGGUGAUAUGAACCGUUAUAACCGGCGAUUUCCGAAUGGGGAAACCCAGUGUGAUUCGUCACACUAUCAUUAACUGAAUCCAUAGGUUAAUGAGGCGAACCGGGGGAACUGAAACAUCUAAGUACCCCGAGGAAAAGAAAUCAACCGAGAUUCCCCCAGUAGCGGCGAGCGAACGGGGAGGAGCCCAGAGCCUGAAUCAGCAUGUGUGUUAGUGGAAGCGUCUGGAAAGGCGCGCGAUACAGGGUGACAGCCCCGUACACAAAAGCGCAUGUGCUGUGAGCUCGAUGAGUAGGGCGGGACACGUGGUAUCCUGUCUGAAUAUGGGGGGACCAUCCUCCAAGGCUAAAUACUCCUGACUGACCGAUAGUGAACCAGUACCGUGAGGGAAAGGCGAAAAGAACCCCGGCGAGGGGAGUGAAAAAGAACCUGAAACCGUGUACGUACAAGCAGUGGGAGCCCCACCACUAAGCCAGUGGUGAACUCCACAUACGCAUCCUUUGCUGAGGAUACGGUUAACGGAGCGCAAGCGACGUUCAACCGCAAAAGAAGCAGAGGGGGCUUAGUGGUGGGGUGACUGCGUACCUUUUGUAUAAUGGGUCAGCGACUUAUAUUCUGUAGCAAGGUUAACCGUAUAGGGGAGCCGGAGGGAAACCGAGUCUUAAUUGGGCGUUAAGUUGCAGGGUAUAGACCCGAAACCCGGUGAUCUAGCCAUGGGCAGGUUNAGGGAAACCGAGUCUUAAUUGGGCGUUAAGUUGCAGGGUAUAGACCCGAAACCCGGUGAUCUAGCCAUGGGCAGGUUGAAGGUUGGGUAACACUAACUGGAGGACCGAACCGACUAAUGUUGAAAAAUUAGCGGAUGACCUGUGGCUGGGGGUGAAAGGCCAAUCAAACCGGGAGAUAGCUGGUUCUCCCCGAAAGCUAUUUAGGUAGCGCCUCGUGAAUUCAUCUCCGGGGGUAGAGCACUGUUUCGGCUAGGGGGCCAUCCCGGCUUACCAACCCGAUGCAAACUGCGAAUACCGGAGAAUGUUAUCACGGGAGACACACGGCGGGUGCUAACGUCCGUCGUGAAGAGGGAAACAACCCAGACCGCCAGCUAAGGUCCCAAAGUCAUGGUUAAGUGGGAAACGAUGUGGGAAGGCCCAGACAGCCAGGAUGUUGGCUUAGAAGCAGCCAUCAUUUAAAGAAAGCGUAAUAGCUCACUGGUCGAGUCGGCCUGCGCGGAAGAUGUAACGGGGCUAAACCAUGCACCGAAGCUGCGGCAGCGAGUAAUAGCUCACUGGUCGAGUCGGCCUGCGCGGAAGAUGUAACGGGGCUAAACCAUGCACCGAAGCUGCGGCAGCGAACGUAUCACUUAAAGCGAUUCAGCGGGUUACGAUUGACGGAGCGAAGCGACGUCAAAGCGUAUACAAAGUCGAGUCGGUUUAAGGAUACGUUCGUUGGGUAGGGGAGCGUUCUGUAAGCCUGUGAAGGUGUGUCGUGAGGCAUGCUGGAGGUAUCAGAAGUGCGAAUGCUGUUGGGUAGGGGAGCGUUCUGUAAGCCUGUGAAGGUGGCCUGUGAGGGUUGCUGGAGGUAUCAGAAGUGCGAAUGCUGACAUAAGUAACGAUAAAGCGGGUGAAAAGCCCGCUCGCCGGAAGACCAAGGGUUCCUGUCCAACGUUAAUCGGGGCAGGGUGAGUCGACCCCUAAGGCGAGGCCGAAAGGCGUAGUCGAUGGGAAACGGGUUAAUAUUCCCGUACUUGGUGUUACUGCGAAGGGGGGACGGAGAAGGCUAUGUUGGCCGGGCGACGGUUGUCCCGGUUUAAGCGUGUAGGUGUGUGUUCCAGGUAAAUCCGGUUCACUUUAACACUGAGGCGUGAUGACGAGGCACUACGGUGCUGAAGCAACAAAUGCCCUGCUUCCAGGAAAAGCCUCUAAGCAUCAGGUAACAUCAAAUCGUACCCCAAACCGACACAGGUGGUCAGGUAGAGAAUACCAAGGCGCUUGAGAGAACUCGGGUGAAGGAACUAGGCAAAAUGGUGCCGUAACUUCGGGAGAAGGCACGCUGACAUGUAGGUGAAGUGAUUUACUCAUGGAGCUGAAGUCAGUCGAAGAUACCAGCUGGCUGCAACUGUUUAUUAAAAACACAGCACUGUGCAAACACGAAAGUGGACGUAUACGGUGUGACGCCUGCCCGGUGCCGGAAGGUUAAUUGAUGGGGUCAGCGCAAGCGAAGCUCCUGAUCGAAGCCCCGGUAAACGGCGGCCGUAACUAUAACGGUCCUAAGGUAGCGAAAUUCCUUGUCGGGUAAGUUCCGACCUGCACGAAUGGCGUAAUGAUGGCCAGGCUGUCUCCACCCGAGACUCAGUGAAAUUGAACUCGCUGUGAAGAUGCAGUGUACCCGCGGCAAGACGGAAAGACCCCGUGAACCUUUACUAUAGCUUGACACUGAACAUUGAGCCUUGAUGUGUAGGAUAGGUGGGAGGCUUUGAAGUGUGGACGCCAGUCUGCAUGGAGCCGACCUUGAAAUACCACCCUUUAAUGUUUGAUGUUCUAACGUGGACCCGUAAUCCGGGUUGCGGACAGUGUCUGGUGGGUAGUUUGACUGGGGCGGUCUCCUCCUAAAGAGUAACGGAGGAGCACGAAGGUUGGCUAAUCCUGGUCGGACAUCAGGAGGUUAGUGCAAUGGCAUAAGCCAGCUUGACUGCGAGCGUGACGGCGCGAGCAGGUGCGAAAGCAGGUCAUAGUGAUCCGGUGGUUCUGAAUGGAAGGGCCAUCGCUCAACGGAUAAAAGGUACUCCGGGGAUAACAGGCUGAUACCGCCCAAGAGUUCAUAUCGACGGCGGUGUUUGGCACCUCGAUGUCGGCUCAUCACAUCCUGGGGCUGAAGUAGGUCCCAAGGGUAUGGCUGUUCGCCAUUUAAAGUGGUACGCGAGCUGGGUUUAGAACGUCGUGAGACAGUUCGGUCCCUAUCUGCCGUGGGCGCUGGAGAACUGAGGGGGGCUGCUCCUAGUACGAGAGGACCGGAGUGGACGCAUCACUGGUGUUCGGGUUGUCAUGCCAAUGGCACUGCCCGGUAGCUAAAUGCGGAAGAGAUAAGUGCUGAAAGCAUCUAAGCACGAAACUUGCCCCGAGAUGAGUUCUCCCUGAGACUUAAAGUCUCCUGAAGGAACGUUGAAGACGACGACGUUGAUAGGCCGGGUGUGUAAGCGCAGCGAUGCGUUGAGCUAACCGGUACUAAUGAACCGUGAGGCUUAACCUU